rnacentral:rRNA from 1 species
GGAUUAGAUACCCUGGUAGUCCAUGCCGUAAACGUUGGGCACUAGAUGUGGGGGACAUUCCACGUUUUCCGCGUCGUAGCUAACGCAUUAAGUGCCCCGCCUGGGGAGUACGGCCGCAAGGCUAAAACUCAAAGGAAUUGACGGGGGCCCGCACAAGCGGCGGAGCAUGCUGAUUAAUUCGAUGCAACGCGAAGAACCUUACCAAGGCUUGACAUGGACCGGACGGCUGCAGAAAUGUGGCUUUCUUCGGGCUGGUUCACAGGUGGUGCAUGGUUGUCGUCAGCUCGUGCUG